AAACUAACAAGGAUUCCCCUAGUAACGGCGAGUGAAGAGGGAAGAGCCCAAGAUUGAAAGCUGGCGUCUUCGGCGUCCGCAUUGUAAUCUCAAGAAGUGUUUUCCGCUUCGGACCAAGCCUAAGUCCCCUGGAAAGGGGCAUCAUAGAGGGUGAUAAUCCCGUACAUGGCUUGGAGCGCCCGAGGCUUUGUGAUACGCUUUCUAAGAGUCGAGUUGUUUGGGAAUGCAGCUCAAAAUGGGUGGUAAAUGCCAUCUAAGGCUAAAUAUUGGGGAGAGACCGAUAGCGAACAAGUACAGUGAUGGAAAGAUGAAAAGAACUUUGAAAAGAGAGUUAAACAGUACGUGAAAUUGCCAAAAGGGAAGGGUAGGAGGUCAGAGAUGCGGCCUGGGAUUCAGCCUUGCUUUUGCUUGGUGUUUUUCCCAGAUUGCAGGCCAACGUCGGUUUUGGGCACUGGAGAAGGGUAGGAGGAACGUGGCACCCCUCGGGGUGUGUUAUAGCCUCCUACUGGAUACAGCGACCGAGACCGAGGACAGCAGCGUACUCGCAAGAGCGGGCCUUCGGGCACCUUUACGCUUAGGGCGUUGGCAUAAUGGCCCUCUACCACCCGUCU
rnacentral:rRNA from 1 species